GAUAUACAGUAGAGAGGAGAUAGAACGGAAGGAACAAGGAAAGAAUAGAAAAAAUCCUUAGUGCCGCAUCACUCACAUUGGACAGCAAAUUCACACACUUAGUGAUCUUUCUUCUUAAUUUCCUUCCAUAACACCCAACCUUUUUCCUCUGCGAUUGGUUGACAAGUUGAUCUCCAUAUUGUUGCCUACUAAUCGAAAUCACCCAAAAACUUCGUCUCUACCCGUUUUGGUCUCCAUCUCUUUCUUUCGUUCUCAAGAUUAAUAAAGGUAUAAAUCAUGGGUUGAGUUCAGUAAGAUGUCCGACGAGGCUCUCCGGUGGAGAUCUUGUUCGCGGUUUUGUCACUUUUGCGUUUCUAAGCUGCCACUCAUUUAAAUUUCAAAUUCAUUUAAGGUCCAUCUGCUUUGCUCAUUAUGUGGGAUUGAUUCACGAGUUAAGCCGAUAUCUAGUUCAAGUAAUUUGGCCGUAAAGUGUUGAGUUGAAGCAAACCUUUGGUUUAAUAAAUGGUGUACUUCAUCCACAAAGUUAUUUUCAUAAUUCAUGGUCUCACAACAAUCUCAAAUUAGUUUAGGAAAUAAUUAAUUAUGAACAUUCAUGGUUUGUUUUAGUUGAAUACAUUCUUUUGAAGCAAGUUGAGGUGCGCCAUUCGCUAGAAAACUCCAUAACCCUUGACCCUCACUUAAUUAAUUUUAAUCCUUUAGAAAUCGGAGUGUGACAUUUAGUUGAA